AACGAACGCUGGCGGCAGGCUUAACACAUGCAAGUCGAGCGCCCCGCAAGGGGAGCGGCAGACGGGUGAGUAACGCGUGGGAAACUACCCAUCUCUACGGAAUAACGCAUGGAAACGUGUGCUAAUACCGUAUACGUCCUUCGGGAGUAAGAUUUAUAGCAGAUGGAUGAGCCCGCAUUGGAUUAGCUAGUUGGGGGGGUAAAGGCCUACCAAGGCGACGAUCCAUAGCUGGUCUGAGAGGAUGAUCAGCCACACUGGGACUGAGACACGGCCCAGACUCCUACGGGAGGCAGCAGUGGUGAAUAUUGGACAAUGGGCGCAAGCCUGAUCCAGCCAUGCCGCGUGAGUGAUGAAGGCCCUAGGGUUGUAAAGCUCUUUCACCGGUGAAGAUAAUGACGGUAACCGGAGAAGAAGCCCCGGCUAACUUCGUGCCAGCCGCCGCAGUAAAAC
rnacentral:rRNA from 1 species